UACGUAGGGGGCGAGCGUUGUCCGGAUUUAUUGGGCGUAAAGAGCUCGUAGGCGGUUUGGCAAGUCGGGUGUGAAAACUCCGGGCUCAACUCGGAGACGCCACUCGAUACUGCUAUGACUCGAGUCCGGUAGGGGAGUGCGGAAUUCCUGGUGUAGCGGUGAAAUGCGCAGAUAUCAGGAGGAACACCGGUGGCGAAGGCGGUUCUCUGGGCCUUACCUGACGCUGAGGAGCGAAAGCGUGGGGAGCAAACAGG
rnacentral:rRNA from 1 species